AGUGAACGCUGGCGGUAGGCCUAACACAUGCAAGUCGAACGGCAGCACAGGAGAGCUUGCUCUCUGGGUGGCGAGUGGCGGACGGGUGAGGAAUACAUCGGAAUCUACUUUUUCGUGGGGGAUAACGUAGGGAAACUUACGCUAAUACAGCAUACGACCUACGGGUGAAAGCAGGGGACCGUCGGGCCUUGCGCGGAUGAAUGAGCCGAUGUCGGAUUAGCUAGUUGGCGGGGUAAAGGCCCACCAAGGCGACGAUCCGUAGCUGGUCUGAGAGGAUGAUCAGCCACACUGGAACUGAGACACGGUCCAGACUCCUACGGGAGGCAGCAGUGGGGAAUAUUGGACAAUGGGCGCAAGCCUGAUCCAGCCAUACCGCGUGGGUGAAGAAGGCCUUCGGGUUGUAAAGCCCUUUUGUUGGGAAAGAAAAGCAGCAGGUUAAUACCCCGCUGUUCUGACGGUACCCAAAGAAUAAGCACCGGCUAACUUCGUGCCAGCAGCCGCCGUAAUAC
rnacentral:rRNA from 1 species